rnacentral:sRNA from 1 species
AUAAAAACAAACAAAAAGAAACAUGCACUUUUUUUUUUAGUUUUUAUGUUGUUUU